AUUAAAAACAGUGCAGAAGGAUGUUUUGAGUAUAUUUUACCUUCUAGCCACGCAAUCAAUGCUUUUCUUUCCAAGCAAGCAGCGUUUUUCGGCAAAAGCAUGAAAUAGAAUCGUACGUGGUACGAAUUUAUCGGCACAAUCUGAUCAAGGACGGAGGCAUCAUCAAACGGAAACUACGCGAAAAACUUUUCGUAGAGAUAAAACUGCGCCGCAACACUCGUGUGAAAAUGGACGAGUUGGGCUGGGUGCUGAUGAACCACAAUUUGAUAACACGUAAUGAGCCAAUCCAACAGCAUGCCAAUGGCAAUCGACCAAAUCAUUUUAAAUUGAACAUGGAGCGGUUGUGAAACCUACUGGAGCAGCAAGAACAGAACAAUCACGCUGAGUUGACUUCCAAAAAGCAAAACAAAUUCCUGCGUAUGCUGGAUGCAAUUUUACAAAACGACAUAGUUUUGAAGGAAAUUAAAGAGAUG